rnacentral:rRNA from 1 species
GACGAACGCUGGCGGCGCGCCUAACACAUGCAAGUCGAACGGAGUUAUUUGAAAGCUUGCUUUUGGAUAACUGAGUGGCGGACGGGUGAGUAACGCGUGAGUAACCUGCCUUAAAGAGGGGAUAACGUCUGGAAACGGACGCUAAUACCGCAUAACAUAUUGUUUUCGCAUGGAGAUGAUAUCAAAGGAGCAAUCCGCUUUAAGAUGGACUCGCGUCCAAUUAGCUAGUUGGUGAGGUAACGGCCCACCAAGGCGACGAUUGGUAGCCGGACUGAGAGGUUGAACGGCCACAUUGGGACUGAGACACGGCCCAG